UGGGUAACCUGCCUCAAAGAGGGGAAUAGCCUCCCGAAAGGGAGAUUAAUACCGCAUAAUAUGUUUAAGUCGCAUGACUUUAACAUCAAAGGAUUUUCUUUUAGAACUUCCACUUUGAGAUGGACCCGCGGCGCAUUAGCUAGUUGGUGAGGUAACGGCUCACCAAGGCAACGAUGCGUAGCCGACCUGAGAGGGUGAUCGGCCACAUUGGAACUGAGACACGGUCCAGACCU
rnacentral:rRNA from 1 species